rnacentral:rRNA from 1 species
GACGUAGGGCGCGAGCGUUGUCCGGAUUUAUUGGGCGUAAAGAGCUCGUAGGCGGUUUGUCGCGUCUGCCGUGAAAGUCCGGAGCUCAACUCCGGAUCUGCGGUGGGUACGGGCAGACUAGAGUGAUGUAGGGGAGACUGGAAUUCCUGGUGUAGCGGUGAAAUGCGCAGAUAUCAGGAGGAACACCGAUGGCGAAGGCAGGUCUCUGGGCAUUAACUGACGCUGAGGAGCGAAAGCAUGGGGAGCGAACAGG